ACCAAAGCAAAGAAGAGAAGUAGUAAUAUUGGCUGUUUUGAAAGAGAGUCUGUGAUUGGUGGAAACAGAUAAAACGAAGAUAUGAAGUAGUCUUGGAGCUGUAUCUUUGAACUAGUAGUAGAAGAUACCGUAGUGAUGCACGUUACGCUGUUGAGAAGUAAGCAAAGGUGGUACCACGUUUAUACACGUCCUAUGC
rnacentral:ncRNA from 1 species